rnacentral:rRNA from 1 species
AUCCCUAGUACGGCGAGUGAAGCGGGAAGAGCUCAAAUUUGAAAUCUGGCAGUCUUCGAUUGUCCGAGUUGUAAUCUAUANGAGGCGUUUUCCGUGCCGGACCGUGUCCAAGUCUCCUGGAAAGGAGUAUCAAAGAGGGUGAUAAUCCCGUACUUAACACGACCACCGGUGCUCUGUGAUACGUCUUCUACGAGUCGAGUUGUAUGGGAAUGCAGCUCAAAAUGGGUGGUGAAUUCCAUCUAAAGCUAAAUAUUGGCGAGAGACCGAUAGCGAACAAGUACCGUGAGGGAAAGAUGAAAAGCACUUUGGAAAGAGAGUUAAACAGUACGUGAAAUUGUUGAAAGGGAAACGAUUGAAGUCAGUCGUGUUCUUUGGAUUCAGCCAGUUCUGCUGGUCUACUUCCUUGGAACGGGUCAACAUCAGUUUUGUCCGGUGGAUAAAGGUAGUAGGAAUGUGACUUCUCCGGAAGUGUUAUAGCUCUAUUAUCACAUACACUGGGUGAGACUGAGGACUGCAGCUCGCCUUUAUGGCCGGCCUUCGGGCACGUUCGAGCUUAGGAUGUGACAUAAUGC